UACGGGGGGGGCAAGCGUUGUUCGGAAUUACUGGGCGUAAAGCGUGCGCAGGCGGUUGGGGAAGACAGAUGUGAAAUCCCCGGGCUUAACCUGGGAACUGCAUUUGUGACUGCACGGCUAGAGUGUGUCAGAGGGGGGUAGAAUUCCACGUGUAGCAGUGAAAUGCGUAGAUAUGUGGAGGAAUACCGAUGGCGAAGGCAGCCCCCUGGGGUAACACUGACGCUCAUGCACGAAAGCGUGGGGAGCAAACAGG
rnacentral:rRNA from 1 species